CAAAGGCAUGGUCCUGACCUUAUUAUCAGCUCUAGCCCAACUUACACAUGCAAGUCUCCGCAGUCCCGUGAAUAUGCCCUCAAUCCCCUGCCCGGGGACGAGGAGCGGGCAUCAGGCACAAACUUUAGCCCAAGACGCCUAGCCAAGCCACACCCCCAAGGGAAUUCAGCAGUGAUAGACAUUAAGCCAUAAGUGAAAACUUGACUCAGUCAGGGUUAAGAGGGCCGGUAAAACUCGUGCCAGCCACCGCGGUUAAACGAGAGGCCCUAGUUGAUAUUAUCACGGCGUAAAGGGUGGUUAAGGAAGACAAAACAAUAAAGCCGAAUGGCCCCUUGGCCGUCAUACGCUUCUAGGUGUCCGAAGCCCAAUUUUACGAAAGUAGCUUUAAUAAAAUCCACCUGACCCCACGAAAGCUAAGAAACAAACUGGGAUUAGAUACCCCACUAUGCUCAGCUAUAAACCUAGACGUCCACCUACAAUUAGACGUCCGCCCGGGUACUACGAGCAUCAGCUUGAAACCCAAAGGACCUGACGGUGCCUUAGACCCCCCUAGAGGAGCCUGUUCUAGAACCGAUAACCCCCGUUAAACCUCACCACUUCUAGCCACCCCAGCCUAUAUACCGCCGUCGCCAGCUUACCCUGUGAAGGCAAUAAAAGUAAGCAAAAUGGGCACAACCCAGAACGUCAGGUCGAGGUGUAGCGUACGAAGUGGGAAGAAAUGGGCUACAUUUUCUACUUAUAGAACACUACGAACAUGCAACAUGAAAUAGUGCUUGAAGGAGGAUUUAGUAGUAAAAAGGAAGCAGAGUGUCCUUUUGAACCCGGCUCUAAGGCGCGUACACACCGCCCGUCACUCUCCCCUGUCAAUAUGCAAUAAAGAUUCAUAACACCAAAGCACUGACAAGGGGAGGCAAGUCGUAACAUGGUAAGUGUACCGGAAGGUGCACUUGGAUUAAACC
rnacentral:ncRNA from 1 species